AGGCGCCGAUUAGACUGUCGGCUGAAAAGAUUCCUGUCGGCUAUUACACAGCCGAUAGCUUCUGUCGGCGCCGACUACCUCCCGAUCGCGCGGUCAACUUGCCCCGAAGGAUGCCACGCAGGCAUCUACGUAGGAUGUCGGCCGUCCAGAAGCCAAUAGGUGCCCUGUCAGCUGUAGGAGAGCCUCACCUCGCCGGGAAUCGCGAAACUGCGACCACCAAGCUCUGCCAGACCAUCGCCCUCGACCUGCUUGAUGAAAUGCGUCGUCUCCUAUUUCUACACCCAGCUGCAGAAGCCUUCAUUCACUUAGCGCUCAUUCAAAUCAUGCUGGGUCGCUGGAUUUCGUGGCUGCCGGUGAGCUCCCGUUCGUGAGUAUCCAUCUAUAAGCCAUUGCUGAAGCAGCACUCUGCUUGUACGCUAAGGUGAAGAGAGAGAACAGUAGAAGCUAAUAGUCUCUUUCUUGUUAUGCAUUGUUAGUACUUGUGUGUUUGGGAUUUAGUGAAUUUCAAAGUAAAUUAAUGGUAGCUCCAAAAAUGAUGAAACCAAUUGUUUUAGCAUUGUCUUAUUAUUUCCUGCAUGCUGAAAUUAUGUUUUAUGAUGAAAUGCUUGACCAUUUUACUAGGAUUAAUUGUAGAGUAUUAAUUAAUAACUUCAUAGUUAACUUACUUUUGCUUGGAGUAGUGAACCCUGUUAGCCUCCUUAAAACCUGAUCUAUCUAGGACAAUCAUCUUUUGCCAUGAAACAGUUGGUUAGCAGUGCAGUUUAUCACUGGUUCAUUUUGAGCUGCUGUAAAGUAUAACAUGUGCAGUAAAUUCAUAUGCUUUCUCUGUAAGGCUGAAACCAUUUGGCACGAUAGGUUGCACACAGUUAAAAGUUGCUAUGACUUAUAGGAUGGCUUUGAGCUGGUGGUGUUUACUGAAUUAUUUUGGAGCUUGAACCUCAGCAACCAGCGUGGCCAAUACCGCCCAGGAAAUCCACCUGGGGUUAAGUGCACGGGUUAGGAUUGAUCAGGGGGUGCAGCAUCCGGUUUAGUUGGGGGGUGGGGGGGAUUAAGUGUUCCGGACCUCAUACUUCGUGGGGGUAUGUAUGUCAUGUAUACUAAUCUCUGUGUAUUGGGCUGUCUUCGUAUUUGGGCCAUGGGCUCGUGUGAGUUGUAAUGGCCAUGGGCCUGGGAGUGCGUGGGAUGUUGCGGCUACGUCCGCUUAUAUGAACCCGUGUGACCAGCGUGUUUCGGCAUGAAUGAAAAGAAUUAACUUCCUC